CUCCAACCUUCUAGCCAUCCUAUCCCCCAGCACUGCAGACCCUCUCCCGUUUAGGUGCAAUCCAUCACCACUAUAAAGGUUGUACCCAAUCGCAAAGUCGGCCCAGUGCUCUAAAAACCAAAACCCUCCUUCCUGCACCAAGACUUAAGCCACGCAUUAACCUCUCUAAUCUCCCGCUGCCUUUCCACUGUAGCGCGUGGCACAGGUAAUAUCUCAGAAAAUACCAC